rnacentral:lncRNA from 1 species
UAUUGAGGUUUAAGUGAGUCAAGGUCUCAGAAUAUAGAAUUUUAGGUCUAAUGAGGGUUUUUAAGUUUUCUUGCAAUCUACUAGUUGGAUUGGAGUGAAAUUUAUGUGAGAGGAUAUUAGACUUAUUUUUCUAUGUCUAUGAGAAUUUUGAGUUCAAUCGAACAGUGAAAAAAAGAGAUAUUGGCUCUGGGAGAUUGGCAUCAAAGUUGGAGAAGGAGGCCAACCGAUACUCGAGCACGUUUUUGAGGUUAUCGUCUAUUUGGUAAUUCCAAUCCUUUCCAAACAUUUUGUGCUUGUUUUUAACUUAGUUUUUAAAAAGUGUGCAAAAUUUGAGUUAAGAUUAAUGGUUCAUACAUUAGUUAUUGAGGUUUAAUUUUAUUGUAAAAAUUACUAGGAUUUAUUUAAGGUUUGGUUAGGGUUUUAUUUAAGGUUUGGUUUAAGGUUUGAUUGGGAUUUGAUUUAGGAUUUGGUUAGAGUUUGGUUUAGGGUUUGAUUUAGGAUUGGUUAGAGUUUGGUUUAGGGUUUGAUUUAGGAUUUAAGAUUUGGUUUAGGAUUUGGUUAGGAUUUUAUUGGGGUUCAGUUUAGGAUUUGUUUAGGGUUUGAUUUAGGAUUUAGGAUUUGGUUAGGAUUUGGUUGAGGGUUUAGAGUUUGAUUAGGAUUUUAUUUAAGAUUUGGUUUAGGGUUUAGAGUUUGGUUAGGAUUUUAUUUAGGAUUUGAUUAAGGAUUUGGUUGGAGUUUAGUUUAGGAUUUGUUUAGGAUUUGAUUUAGGAUUUAGGGUUUGGUUAAAAUUUGGUUUAGGAUUUAGAGUUUGGUUAGGAUUUCAUUUAGGAUUUAGGAUUUGAUUUAAGAUUUGAUUAGAAUUUGGUUUAAGAUUUGAUUAGGAUUUGGUUUAGGAUUUAGUUUAGUAUUUAUGGUUUGAUUUAGAGUUUAAGGUUUGAUUUAGGAUUUAGGAUUUUAUUAGGAUUUAUUUAGGAUUUAAGAUUUAAUUAGUUUUGGCCUAAAGUUUGAAUGAAGUCUAAUAGGAUUUUAACUAAAAUUAAAUUAAAAUUGAAUUGAGAUGUAUUUCAGAGAUAUUUGUGAUUAUUCUAAUAUUUCUUUAAGAUUUUUUAUUGUUUCUUUGAAAUUUCUUUGAGGUUUCUUUGAAUUUGAUUAAAGCUUUCU